rnacentral:rRNA from 1 species
CACUGUCCAUAAUGGGAYAGUACGUGUAUGUGAAUACAUAGCAUACUCGUGGCACACCCGGAGAACUGAAACAUCUAAGUACCCGGAGGAAGAGAAAGAAACAUCGAUUCCCUUAGUAGCGGCGAGCGAAACGGGAAGAGCCCAAACCAAGAAGCUUGCUUCUUGGGGUUGUAGGACACUCUAUACGGAGUUACAAARGAAUGUGKUAGAUGAAGCGACCUGGAAAGGUCYGCCAAAGAGGGUAAAAGCCCCGUARUCGAAAGCACAUUCUCUCCAGAGUGGAUCCUGAGUACGGCGGAACACGUGAAAUUCCGUCGGAAUCCGGGAGGACCAUCUCCCAAGGCUAAAUACUCCCUAGUGACCGAUAGUGAACCAGUACCGUGAGGGAAAGGUGAAAAGCACCCCGGAAGGGGAGUGAAAUAGAUCCUGAAACCGUGCGCUUACAAAUUGUCAGAGCCCGUUAAUGGGUGAUGGCGUGCCUUUUGUAGAAUGAACCGGCGAGUUACGAUUCCAUGCAAGGUUAAGCUGAGAAAGCGGAGCCGCAGCGAAAGCGAGUYUGAMURGGGCGRWWGAGUAUGGGGUCGUAGACCCGAAACCAGGUGAUCUACCCAUGUCCAGGGUGAAGGUCAGGUAACACUGACUGGAGGCCCGAACCCACGUAUGUUGAAAAAUGCGGGGAUGAGGUGUGGGUAGCGGUGAAAUUCCAAUCGAACCUGGAGAUAGCUGGUUCUCUCCGAAAUAGCUUUAGGGCUAGCCUCAAACGAAAGAAUCUCGGAGGUAGAGCACUGUUUGGACGAGGGGCCCAUCCCGGGUUACCGAAUUCAGACAAACUCCGAAUGCCGAUGAUUUAUGUUUGGGAGUCAGACAGUGGGUGAUAAGAUCCAUUGUCGAGAGGGAAACAGCCCAGACCACCAGCUAAGGUCCCCAAGUAUCUGUUAAGUGGAAAAGGAUGUGGCGUUGCCCAGACAACCAGGAUGUUGGCUUAGAAGCAGCCAUCAUUUAAAGAGUGCGUAAUAGCUCACUGGUCGAGUGGCGCUGCGCCGAAAAUGUACCGGGGCUAAACAGAUCACCGAAGCUGUGGAUUGACCUUAGGGUCAAUGGUAGGAGAGCGUUCCAAGGGCGUUGAAGCUAGACCGGAAGGACUGGUGGAGCGCUUGGAAGUGAGAAUGCCGGUAUGAGUAGCGAAAGAAGGGUGAGAAUCCCUUCCACCGAAUGCCCAAGGUUUCCUGAGGAAGGCUCGUCCGCUCAGGGUUAGUCAGGACCUAAGUCGAGGCCGAUAGGCGUAGACGAUGGACAACAGGUUGAUAUUCCUGUACCACCUCCCCGCCGUUUGAGUAAUGGGGGGACGCAGUAGGAUAGGGUGAGCACACAGUUGGUUGUGUGUCUAAGCAGUGAGGUGGAGAACGAGGCAAAUCCCGUUCUCAUAUAACACUAGGCUGUGAUGGCGAGGAGAUUUWUCUCCAGAGUCCCUGAUUUCACACUGCCAAGAAAAGCCUCUAGCGAGGCGGGAGGUGCCUGUACCGCAAACCGACACAGGUAGGCGAGGAGAGAAUCCUAAGGUGAUCGAGAGAACUCUCGUUAAGGAACUCGGCAAAAUGACCCCGUAACUUCGGGAGAAGGGGUGCUCUGGUAGGGUGAAUAGCCCGAGAGAGCCGCAGUGAAUAGGCCCAGGCGACUGUUUAGCAAAAACACAGGUCUCUGCAAAAUCGUAAGAUGACGUAUAGGGGCUGACGCCUGCCCGGUGCUGGAAGGUUAAGAGGAGGGGUUAGCGCAAGCGAAGCUCUGAAUUGAAGCCCCAGUAAACGGCGGCCGUAACUAUAACGGUCCUAAGGUAGCGAAAUUCCUUGUCGGGUAAGUUCCGACCCGCACGAAAGGCGUAACGAUCUGGGCACUGUCUCAACGAGAGACUCGGUGAAAUUAUAAUAUGCGUGAAGAUGCGCAUUACCCGCGACAGGACGGAAAGACCCCGUGGAGCUUUACUGUAGCCUGAUAUUGAAUUCCGGUGCAGCCUGUACAGGAUAGGUAGGAGCCUUGGAUUCCGGAGCGCCAGCUUCGGAGGAGGCAUUGGUGGGAUACUACCCUGGCUGUAUUGGACUUCUAACCCUUGCCCGUGAUCCGGGCAGGAGACAGUGUCAGGUGGAC